CUCCUUGCUGACGUCACAGCCUUGUUGGGACGUGGUGGCCACACUUUGUUUUUUUUUCUUUUGCAGUUUUGACUUGCGGUAAUUCCAUGUGUUUUCUACGGUAAUAAAAUGUUUCGGAUAUUACGGUCAGGAACUGUUGGUAUUUCACCAUUUUUUACUGUAAAUUUACAGAGUUUUUUUUUUACAGUGUGGGAUCUAGGAUUUUAGUAAGGGGGUCUACAUAAAGUUUACCCCUAACAUUUUUUAUGACCCUCUUGACUUUUACGACCUCUGUAAAAGUUUCAAAUGUUGCGUUCGCUCAUGUCUUUAGAAACCCACUAAUGUGCAGAUGACUCUUUGGUGACAGAAAGUAACGGUGAAAUAUGAAGCAACCAGGAUGGAAACAUUUACUCCUCUUUGUAACUUAUCUAUUAGCUUGUUUUUCAGGGACAAGACAGUCAGAACCUUGAAACAGGUUAGUUUAACAUGUUACAAAUGUUCUGCUUGCAGGAUAUCUUUAGCCAGUGGCUACUUUGCAGUCUUCAGCACAAUGCAGCACAACAAUAAUCAUAGCACACCAUUGUUAAAUUUCAUGAUUACAAAAAUCAGAACAAAAAAGUGUCAAAAGGAAAAUAGUCAUUUAUUCUUAAUAUAUCUAAAUAUUAAUGUUUUACAAGUAUGUGUUGGUCUGUUACAUAAAAUCCCAAUGAAAUAAAUGGAGGUUUGUGGAUGUAAUGGAGAAAAAUCCAGCAGGAAAGUGGUGUGAAUAGUUUUUCAAGGUACUGUACUCUUUAUAACAUACAUAGUUUCCUCUGUUUAAUUCUUUGUUAGUGAAAUAGAUACGCUACAGAAUCUGAGAGAAAAAUCUCCAUCUGUCUUCCGCAGAGAGAAAGUGUGUCCUUUGUCCAACCUCUGGGACUGGCUGACAUUUCUGCUAACGCCCGUCACAUGAAGCUGCUGCUCAGACGCCUCUGACUGCAGAAAAGGCCAGAUAUCUCUUUGUGUUUUGAAGUGAAAGGUCAAAGAGCAAACUCCUCAAAGCAUGCGUGAAAAUAAGAUCCAACACAGAUACUGAGUGGCUUUCACAGCUGCUGGAUGUGGAACGUGUUAAAUUUGCAUCAAUGCCAUCAGUUAGUAACAUGCUCUCCCUGUGCAAUCUGAGAGAGUGAGCGCUUGUAGAGCUUAAGGUCUCCCUCAGCCCUCUGAUGCACUGUGCUCUCCCUCUGCGUUUAGCCUUUUGGGGGAAGGUGUUAGCUGGAUGUGAAGCAGGCAAGAAGGACGGCAAUGUAGAGAGAGAGGAGAGGGAAAGAGUUUCAGCUGAGUGCAGCGAUUUUCUCCCAACUCCCGGAUGGCUCCCAGAUGUUUUUUUUUUGAAAGCCAUCGCUUUCUCUGCAUUUGUUCUUUCAGUUAGUGUGUUGUUCCCAUGUUUUCUUCUCCUCAGGGAUUGAAGCUUUGAAAAAAGUGCUCCUUUCACUUUGUGUGAUCUUUGUCAUCCUUCAUCAAAUAAACUCUUCCUAGAAACUCUGAA